UACGUAGGGUGCGAGCGUUAAUCGGAAUUACUGGGCGUAAAGCGUGCGCAGGCGGUCCGUUGUGUCGGUGGUGAAAGCCCCGGGCUUAACCUGGGAAUGGCCAUGGAAACUGGCGAACUGGAGUGUGGCAGAGGGGGGUGGAAUUCCGCGUGUAGCAGUGAAAUGCGUAGAGAUGCGGAGGAACACCGAUGGCGAAGGCAGCCCCCUGGGCUAACACUGACGCUCAGGCACGAAAGCGUGGGGAGCAAACAGG
rnacentral:rRNA from 1 species